rnacentral:rRNA from 1 species
GUGGGGAAUAUUGGACAAUGGGCGAAAGCCUGAUCCAGCCAUGCCGCGUGUGUGAAGAAGGUCUUCGGAUUGUAAAGCACUUUAAGUUGGGAGGAAGGGUAGUAACCUAAUACGUUGCUACUUUGACGUUACCGACAGAAUAAGCACCGGCUAACUUCGUGCCAGCAGCCGCGGUAAUACGAAGGGUGCAAGCGUUAAUCGGAAUUACUGGGCGUAAAGCGUGCGGAGGUGGUUGUUCAAGUCUGUCGUGAAAGCCCUGGGCUCAACCUGGGAACUGCCUCCAAAACUGCGUGACUAGAGUACGGUAGAGGGUAGUGGAAUUUCCUGUGUAGCGGUGAAAUGCGUAGAUAUAAGAAGGAACACCAGUGGCGAAGGCGACUACCUGGACUGAUACUGACACUGAGGUGCGAAAGCGUGGGGAGCAAACAGGAUUAGAAACCCGGGUAGUCC